AUCCAGCUGACGAGUCCCAAAUAGGACGAAACGAGCGUCGAACUGCAU
rfam:Schistosoma curassoni strain Dakar, Senegal genome assembly, scaffold: SCTD_scaffold0007195